GAGGAGCAGCUGGUGGAGUCUGGGGGAGGCCUGGUGCAGCCUGGGGGGUCUCUGAGACUCUCCUGUGCAGCCUCUGGAUUCACCUUCACAAUCUAUGACAUGAACUGGGUCCGCCAGGCUCCAGGGAAGGGGCUGGAGUGGGUCUCACUCAUUAGUCCUAGUGGUGGUAGCACAUACUACGCCGACUCUGUGAAGGGCCGCUUCACCAUCUCCAGGGACAAUGCCAAGAACAUGGUGUAUCUUCAAAUGAGCAGCCUGAGAGCCGAGGACACGGCCGUGUAUUAUUGU